rnacentral:rRNA from 1 species
UACAGAGGGGGCAAGCGUUGUUCGGAAUUACUGGGCGUAAAGGGCUCGUAGGUGGCCAACUAAGUCAGACGUGAAAUCCCUCGGCUUAACCGGGGAACUGCGUCUGAUACUGGAUGGCUUGAGUUUGGGAGAGGGACGCGGAAUUCCAGGUGUAGCGGUGAAAUGCGUAGAGAUGUGGAGGAACACCGAUGGCGAAGGCAGCCCCCUGGGCUAACACUGACGCUCAGGCACGAAAGCGUGGGGAGCAAACAGG